GUCUUUGGACAUACCACCCUGAAUGCACCCGAUCUCAUCUGAUCUUGGAAGAGAAAUGGAGUCAGGCCUGGUUAGUCUUUGGAUGGGGGAAGUCUAGACACA
rnacentral:rRNA from 10 species